GUGGGGAAUAUUGGACAAUGGGCGAAAGCCUGAUCCAGCCAUGCCGCGUGUGUGAAGAAGGUCUUCGGAUUGUAAAGCACUUUAAGUUGGGAGGAAGGGCAGUAAGUUAAUACCUUGCUGUUUUGACGUUACCGACAGAAUAAGCACCGGCUAACUUCGUGCCAGCAGCCGCAGUAAUACGAAGGGUGCAAGCGUUAAUCGGAAUUACUGGGCGUAAAGCGCGCGUAGGUGGUUUUGUAAGUUGGAGGUGAAAUCCCCGGGCUCAACCUGGGAACUGCCUCCAAAACUGCAUGACUAGAGUACGGUAGAGGGUAGUGGAAUUUCCUGUGUAGCGGUGAAAUGCGUAGAUAUAGGAAGGAACACCAGUGGCGAAGGCGACUACCUGGACUGAUACUGACACUGAGGUGCGAAAGCGUGGGGAGCAAACAGGAUUAGAUACCCCUGUAGUCC
rnacentral:rRNA from 1 species